GCGGGAGUAGCUCAACUGGUUAGAGCAUCCGCCUGUCACGCGGAAGGUUGCGGGUUCAAGUCCCGUCUCUCGCG
rnacentral:tRNA from 1 species